GGGGACCACAAAGAGCGCUAUGAAGCUCCCUCCUGAAUCCCCAGCAGUUUGGUGCCUUUAUGCUCUGCCCCCACAUUCAGGCCCCACCUCACAUACACAAGCUCAGCCCUGGCCCUGCACUCACAGUGCUGACUUCACCUCCCAGUGCUCCCUGUCUCUCACUGCCUGUGACAGGUAGACUUCAGCCCAUUACAGUGAUGUUUUGUGUGCGCCUGCUAGUGAGUGAGCUUGUUUGUGUGUGUGUCAAUUAGCUUGUCUGUAGUGAGUAUGUAUUGUUAAAAGGUC